UUGCAGAUAUAUGACGUAUCUUACACCAAUACUGAUGGAACAGAUGAUUCUUGGUAAUGACUUGGGUGGAAAAAAUGGCUGGAAUAUAAUCCUGCUCAGUGGACUAGGAUUAGCACUUUAGCUGAAGAAAAUUCCAUGUAGGAAGAUAACCUACCAUUUGAAGAUGAAGCAGAAGACGAGGAUUACUACCCAAGUUUGCUUUUUGCUGCCCUUUUUUUCUUGUUUUAAGGCAUAAGGCAUAAAAGAUAAAUGCUUGCUGUGUCACUGCUCUGAAGGGGACAACACACCUGAAGCUCUUAGCCUGGCCAAGGCGACAAGCUAACUUUUAGGGCUAAGUCCUGAAAAUCCCCACGGGGAAGUUCGUAAAUGGCUCAUCUCAUUUUCUUGGAGGACUGUUUGCGGACCACCGCCAGAUUUGUCAUGUUUCAGGCUUGAUUAACCAUGCAACAUGAAGUGAUAUCUUCAAUGAACCAGCUCUGGGUUUUAGGAAAUCUUAGUUUGUUUCAGUUCUGUUGUGUAAAGUCCGUGAAAAUCUGGUUAAUAUGCUCCAAAAGAGGGAUAGAUAAAAAAAACUCUUGGAGGGAAAU